AGGGCACCACCAGGAGUGGAGCCUGCGGCUUAAUCUGACUCAACACGGGAAAACUCACCCGGCCCGGACACCGUAAGGAUUGACAGAUUGAGAGCUCUUUCUUGAUUCGGUGGUUGGUGGUGCAUGGCCGUUCUUAGCUGGUGGAGCGAUUUGUCUGGUUUAUUCCGAUAACGAGCGAGACUCUAGCCUACUAAAUAGUGACCGGAUAGCUUGGUCCGGGUCACUUCUUAGAGGGGCAAGCGGUGUUCAGCCGCAAUAAGUUGAGCAAUAACAGGUCUGUGAUGCCCUUAGAUGUCCGGGGCUACACGCGCGCUACACUGGAGGAAUCAGCGUGCUUGACCCAUUGCCGAAAGGCAUUGGUAAACCCUUGAAAAUCCUCCGUGAUCGGGAUCGGGAAUUGCAAUUAUUUCCCUUGAACGAGGAAUUCCCAGUAAGUGUGAGUCAGCAGCUCACGUUGGUUACGUCCCUGCUCUUUGUACAACCGCUCGUCGCUGCCCGGGACAGAGCCGUGUCUAGAUA
rnacentral:rRNA from 1 species